UACGUAGGUGGCAAGCGUUGUCCGGAUUUAUUGGGCGUACAGGGCGCGCAGGCGGUUCGCUACGUCCGAGGUGAAAUCUCCCGGCUCAACUGGGAGAGGUCUUCGGAUACUGGCGGGCUUGAGGAGAGCAGAGGUGAGCGGAAUUCUGGGUGUAGUGGUGAAAUGCGUAGAUAUCCAGAGGAACACCAGUGGCGAAGGCGGCUCACUGGGCUCCACCUGACGCUGAGGCGCGAAAGCGUGGGGAGCGAACCGG
rnacentral:rRNA from 1 species